rnacentral:rRNA from 1 species
GACGAACGCUGGCGGCGUGCUUAACACAUGCAAGUCGAACGGAAAGGCCCUGCUUUUGUGGGGUGCUCGAGUGGCGAACGGGUGAGUAACACGUGAGUAACCUGCCCUUGACUUUGGGAUAACUUCAGGAAACUGGGGCUAAUACCGGAUAGGAGCUCCUGCUGCAUGGUGGGGGUUGGAAAGGUUCGGCGGUUGGGGAUGGACUCGCGGCUUAUCAGCUUGUUGGUGGGGUAGUGGCUUACCAAGGCUUUGACGGGUAGCCGGCCUGAGAGGGUGACCGGCCACAUUGGGACUGAGAUACGGCCCAGACUCCUACGGGAGGCAGCAGUGGAGAAUAGUGCACAAUGGGCGGAAGGCUGAUGCAGCAACGCCGCGUGCGGGAUGACGGCCUUCGGGUUGUAAACCGCUUUCGCCUGUGACGAAGCGUGAGUGACGGUAAUGGGUAAAGAAGCACCGGCUAACUACGUG